rnacentral:rRNA from 1 species
AGGGUUCGAUUCUGGCUCAGGAUGAACGCUGGCGGCGUGCUUAACACAUGCAAGUCGAACGGGAUCCCUGGCAGCUUGCUGCCGGGGUGAGAGUGGCGAACGGGUGAGUAAUGCGUGACCGACCUGCCCCAUGCACCGGAAUAGCUCCUGGAAACGGGUGGUAAUGCCGGAUGUUCCACAUGAUCGCAUGUGAUUGUGGGAAAGCUUUCGCGGCAUGGGAUGGGGUCGCGUCCUAUCAGCUUGAUGGCGGGGUAACGGCCCACCAUGGCUUCGACGGGUAGCCGGCCUGAGAGGGCGACCGGCCACAUUGGGACUGAGAUACGGCCCAGACUCCUACGGGAGGCAGCAGUGGGGAAUAUUGCACAAUGGGCGCAAGCCUGAUGCAGCGACGCCGCGUGCGGGAUGGAGGCCUUCGGGUUGUAAACCGCUUUUGUUGGGGAGCAAGCGCAAGUGAGUGUACCUUUCGAAUAAGCACCGGCUAACUACGUGCCAGCAGCCGCGGUAAUACGUAGGGUGCAAGCGUUAUCCGGAAUUAUUGGGCGUAAAGAGCUCGUAGGCGGUUUGUCGCGUCCGGUGUGAAAGUCCAUCGCUUAACGGUGGAUCUGCGCCGGGUACGGGCAGGCUGGAGUGCGGUAGGGGAGACUGGAAUUCCCGGUGUAACGGUGGAAUGUGUAGAUAUCGGGAAGAACACCAAUGGCGAAGGCAGGUCUCUGGGCCGUUACUGACGCUGAGGAGCGAAAGCGUGGGGAGCGAACAGGAUUAGAUACCCUGGUAGUCCACGCCGUAAACGGUGGAUGCUGGAUGU